GAUGAACGCUGGCGGCGUGCCUAAUACAUGCAAGUCGAGCGAACAGAUAAGAAGCUUGCUUCUCUGAUGUUAGCGGCGGACGGGUGAGUAACACGUGGGUAACCUACCUAUAAGACUGGGAUAACUCCGGGAAACCGGGGCUAAUACCGGAUAAUAUUUUGAACCGCAUGGUUCAAUAGUGAAAGACGGUUUCGGCUGUCACUUAUAGAUGGACCCGCGCCGUAUUAGCUAGUUGGUAAGGUAACGGCUUACCAAGGCGACGAUACGUAGCCGAGCUGAGAGGGUGGUCGGCCACACUGGAACGGAGACACGGUCCAGACUCCUACGGGAGGCAGCAGUAGGGAAUCUUCCGCAAUGGGCGAAAGCCUGACGGAGCAACGCCGCGUGAGUGAUGAAGGUCUUCGGAUCGUAAAACUCUGUUGUUAGGGAAGAACAAAUUUGUUAGUAACUGAACAAGUCUUGACGGUACCUAACCAGAAAGCCACGGCUAACUACGUGCCAGCAGCCGCAGUAA
rnacentral:rRNA from 1 species